UACGUAGGGUGCGAGCGUUAAUCGGAAUUACUGGGCGUAAAGAGCUCGUAGGCGGUCUGUCGCGUCGAUCGUGAAAACUUGGGGCUUAACCCUGAGCUUGCGGUCGAUACGGGCAUGACUGGAGUUCGGCAGGGGAGACUGGAAUUCCUGGUGUAGCGGUGAAAUGCGCAGAUAUCAGGAGGAACACCGGUGGCGAAGGCGGAUCUCUGGGCCAUUACUGACGCUGAGGAGCGAAAGCGUGGGGAGCAAACAGG
rnacentral:rRNA from 1 species